rnacentral:rRNA from 1 species
GAGUUUGAUCAUGGCUCAGAGCGAACGCUGGCGGCAUGCUUAACACAUGCAAGUCGCACGGUCAGCAAUGGCAGUGGCGGACGGGUGAGUAACACGUAGGAAUCUAUCUCUGGGUGGGGGACAACAGUGGGAAACUACUGCUAAUACCGCAUGAUACCUGAGGGUCAAAGGCGUAAGUCGCCUGGAGAGGAGCCUGCGUCUGAUUAGCUUGUUGGUGGGGUAAAGGCCUACCAAGGCUACGAUCAGUAGCUGGUCUGAGAGGAUGAUCAGCCACAUUGGGACUGAGACACGGCCCAAACUCCUACGGGAGGCAGCAGUGGGGAAUAUUGGACAAUGGGCGAAAGCCUGAUCCAGCAAUGCCGCGUGUGUGAAGAAGGUCUUCGGAUUGUAAAGCACUUUUGGCAGGGACGAUGAUGACGGUACCUGCAGAAUAAGCCCCGGCUAACUUCGUGCCAGCCGCCGCGGU